rnacentral:tRNA from 1 species
CAGAAGGUGGGGAAGGGCGCCUUUCGUCAUUGGGAGUGGCGGGUAGUCGACGGAAACGGUUGCCAAGCGGGCUUCGUUUCCCCACCUUUGA